rnacentral:lncRNA from 1 species
UCAACAUGGAUGGCUCCUCCCGCUGCCGCUGCCGCUCCAGGAGACAGCAUUACAGAGCAUCAGUUAGGUGCAGAGACUGGGCAGUGCACCCGUGUGCAAAGACAGGAGACACGAAUCUUCCCUGAAGGAGUGACAGUCUAGGGAGGAAGGCAGACUGCAGGUGAGGUAACAGGGGACCUACUUCUCUCGGGAAUCUCAAUACUUGGAACAAGAACCUCCUAGACGGACCCUUUGGCAUAAUGAAUUGGACCAACUGUAGGUUCCAGGACUAGAGAGCCAGCAAUGCCUCCAUGAACAAUCUCACCCAAUUACUCUGCUCAGGAAACGAGGUAACUGAUGGACAGCCGAGGCAGCCCCUUAGGCGGCUUAGGCCUCCCCUGUGGAGCAUCCCUGAGGCGGACUCCGGCCAGCCCGAGUGACGCGAUCCAAAGAGCACUCCCGGGUAGGAAAUUGCCCCGGUGGAAUGCCUCACCAGAGCAGCGUGUAGCAGUUCCCUGUGGAGGAUUAACACAGUG